rnacentral:rRNA from 1 species
AACGAACGCUGGCGGCGUGCCUAAUACAUGCAAGUCGAGCGCAGGAAAUCGACGGAACCCUUCGGGGGGAAGUCGAUGGAAUGAGCGGCGGACGGGUGAGUAACACGUAAAGAACCUGCCCUCAGGUCUGGGAUAACCACGAGAAAUCGGGGCUAAUACCGGAUGGGUCAUCGGACCGCAUGGUCCGAGGAUGAAAGGCGCUUCGGCGUCGCCUGGGGAUGGCUUUGCGGUGCAUUAGCUAGUUGGUGGGGUAGUGGCCCACCAAGGCGACGAUGCAUAGCCGACCUGAGAGGGUGAUCGGCCACACUGGGACUGAGACACGGCCCAGACUCCUACGGGAGGCAGCAGUAGGGAAUCUUCCACAAUGGACGAAAGUCUGAUGGAGCAACGCCGCGUGAACGAUGAAGGCCUUCGGGUCGUAAAGUUCUGUUGUAAGGGAAGAACAAGUGCCGCAGGCAAUGGCGGCACCUUGACGGUACCUUGCGAGAAAGCCACGGCUAACUACGUGCCAGCCGCCGCAGUAAAAC